GACGAACGCUGGCGGCGUGCUUAACACAUGCAAGUCGAACGGAAAGGCCCUGCUUUUGUGGGGUGCUCGAGUGGCGAACGGGUGAGUAACACGUGAGUAACCUGCCCUUGACUUUGGGAUAACUUCAGGAAACUGGGGCUAAUACCGGAUAGGAGCUCCUGCUGCAUGGUGGGGGUUGGAAAGUUUCGGCGGUUGGGGAUGGACUCGCGGCUUAUCAGCUUGUUGGUGGGGUAGUGGCUUACCAAGGCUUUGACGGGUAGCCGGGCUGAGAGGGUGACCGGCCACAUUGGGACUGAGAUACGGCCCAGACUCCUACGGGAGGCAGCAGUGGGGAAUAUUGCACAAUGGGCGGAAGCCUGAUGCAGCAACGCCGCGUGCGGGAUGACGGCCUUCGGGUUGUAAACCGCUUUCGCCUGUGACGAAGCGUGAGUGACGGUAAUGGGUAAAGAAGCACCGGCUAACUACGUG
rnacentral:rRNA from 1 species